AGCUUUGUAGUCAAAUUUAUGAUAUUAAAUUGCAAAUUUAAAGGUGUGAUUAUACUAAAGCUU
rnacentral:tRNA from 1 species